UGGGGAAUAUUGGACAAUGGGCGCAAGCCUGAUCCAGCCAUGCCGCGUGGAUGAUGAAGGCCCUAGGGUUGUAAAGUCCUUUCGGCGGGGAAGAUAAUGACGGUACCCGCAGAAGAAGCCCCGGCUAACUUCGUGCCAGCAGCCGCGGUAAUACGAAGGGGGCUAGCGUUGCUCGGAAUCACUGGGCGUAAAGCGCACGUAGGCGGAUUCUUAAGUCGGUGGUGAAAUCCUGGAGCUCAACUCCAGAACUGCCUCCGAUACUGAGAGUCUUGAGUCCGGGAGAGGUGAGUGGAACUGCGAGUGUAGAGGUGAAAUUCGUAGAUAUUCGCAAGAACACCAGUGGCGAAGGCGGCUCACUGGCCCGGUACUGACGCUGAGGUGCGAAAGCGUGGGGAGCAAACAGGAUUAGAUACCCCUGUAGUCCCUGAGCGGGCUGGCAAGGCGCAU
rnacentral:rRNA from 1 species